AUGAGGCCCCGACACAUAUACAGCAGAGAACUGGCCUCAGUGAGAGAAGGCACAUGUAACACUGGAGGGACCAGAGAGGAAGGAAACAAUACAUAUAUAGUCCAAGCUCACACUCCCUAGAGAAGAAAAGAGAAGAGGAGGAAGAAUGGCGUUGCAAUCAGAAAAUCUGGACGGGUGGAACCAUCUAAGUCCAUUGACAUUGGAUGUCAAGUUACAGGAUUUGAAAUUUAUCCUGCUGGGUUUCAAUCAUGCUUUGAUCCAGUAUUUCCUCACUAUGCCCCAUUAUUCCCUUUCAGAAUAGCGAUGUAUAUAUUCUGUGC